ensembl:misc_RNA Metazoa_SRP Metazoan signal recognition particle RNA
GCUGGGCAUGAUAGCUCGUGCCUGUAGUCCUAGCUACUCAGGAGGCUGAGGUGGAAGGAUUGCUUGAGCCCAGGGGGUUGAGGCUGCAGUGAGCCAUGAUCAUGCCACUGCACUUCUGCCUGGGCAAUACAGCGAGACCCUGUCUCAA